UACGUAGGGUGGCAAGCGUUGUCCGGAUUUAUUGGGUUUAAAGGGUGCGUAGGCGGUCAAGUAAGUCAGCGGUGAAAUCCGGCAGGCUCAACUGUCGAAUGUGCCAUUGAUACUGCAUGACGUUGAGUACUGAUGGAGGUAGGCGGAAUUGACGGUGUAGCGGUGAAAUGCUUAGAGUAUCGAUCAAGAACACCGAUAGCGAAGGCAGCUUACUAAGCAGUAACUGACGCUGAUGCACGAAAGUGUGGGGAUCAAACAGG
rnacentral:rRNA from 1 species